CUUCAGAAUGUGACCCACGAUGAAUUGGUGAUGCCGCAAGAGGUGUCGACACACUUCGGGAGUUACAGUGUUCCAGCACAAGGAAUUACCACACAAGAGGAUAAUUUCCUCUGCGGUACAGAUAAUAUUGAUCCACUUGCUGAUAAUCAGCUUAUCAUUUGUGACCCACGGAGCAUUAAGAAAGAGGUUUUUGAAGAAUGUGUCCCAGAGUUCAGUGACUGCAAUGAAGAGGAUCAAGAUGUAUAUUUAGGGGUGG